rnacentral:piRNA from 1 species
CACCCGUGAUUCUAUGGCAUGAUGGUUCUGU